GGCCGCGUGGCCCAAUGGCAAGGCGUCUGACUACGAUUUCAGUCGUUCAUCAGGAGAUUGUGGGUUCGAACCCCAUCGUGGUCA
rfam:Rhodosporidium toruloides NP11 unplaced genomic scaffold Scaffold28, whole genome shotgun sequence.